rnacentral:rRNA from 1 species
GUCUACGGCCACGCUACCCUGAACAAGCCCAAUCUUGUCUGAUCUUGGAAGCUAAGCAGGAUUGGGCCUGGAUAGUACCUGGAUGGGAGACCACCUAGGAAGACCAGGUGCUAUAGGUG